UUGACCGACCAUCUCUCUUCCUCUCCCAAUUAUUCUUUCGCUCACCAUUUCUCCUCUAGCCAACACCUCCAUCAGCAUCCCUCACGGCGUGUGACUCGACGGAUGACGGUUGCACGUCGAAGCAACCCAUCAACCGCCUUGCAUCUCUCCCUCGCGUGAUUGGAGUGCCUUGGCUUGCCGACGCUAGAUCUACCACCGUCAGUCGUCCAUCUAAUCGGACAACGGCCACUCCUUGUGUGGUUUAACUCACCGCUCAUUUCCGGCCAGACGCAGGUGUUCGAAGCCAUAGUUUUCGUGGGUAGUUUGAUCUUGGAGUUGGAUUUGAUUAUUAGAGGAAUUUUUGCCGCUGUACAGCCAUUCAAAAACUCAAAUUGGUCGUUCUUGGCACAACUUGUGCUAAAUUGAAGUGGGGAAAGCGUAUAACCCCGGGGGAUCGAGUUACUAACUGUGAGUGGUUUAUUUUUUAAGCUUUCUUUAUACAUAUAUACGUUAUCUCUUGACAUUGCUUGGAAACUACCAUGAUCUAAACCAUGACCACGUUUUCGUUAUUGUUUAAACAAUGAGUUUAUACAUUGAGAUUUCAAAAAUGUUCAUAACUCAAAGUUGAUAAAAACGGGUUUAAAGUCCUUGUUUCCAUUAAUACUUAAAGGAUAUGUUUAGUCAUUAUGAUUUUGAGAAUGUGUAUGCCUUGAUUUUUAUAAAAUCAUGUUUCAAGUUUUUAGUUUAUACUUUGUUUUGAAUUAUACUAAACCAAUGCUUAUGGUAAAUGUUGAUGAUUACCCUAAAGGCUACGUGAAUGUGUUUCCGUAGCGCCACCUACGGUUGUCAGGAGAUUUCGGGGCUGAAAGAGGCCGUGACCGGAGAUCCAAGAACCUGAGCCUAGGUGAGGACAUGGAUGGAGGAUUGUGAUAUGGCUUCAGGCCUAGCUUACCCCAUGGUUGGGUGGCUCUAUGUGCACAUAGGAGCGAUAUGUAGUUCUAUGGUAGGUGCUAAGUGUGCGUGAGCUCCGUUUGACCGCGUGUUUCCUUGUAGAUAUGGAGCACGUGUGAGCUAUGCCUGGGCCGUAUACUUAGUAUGCUAUCAUGGUUGGUUCGAUUGGUUGACGGUUGAUAUCAUGGUGGGUACUACGGAUGCGUGAGCUAGUUUUGGCCGCAUGAUGCUUUAUCAUGUGCGAGCUAUUUUUGGCCGCAUCCUUAGAUGCCUUGCCAUGGUUGUACGGAUUACAGGCUUGUUGAUGGACUAAUGGGUAUGAGUUGAUGGCGCUUUUCACAAAUAUUAUACUUAUAAGGCAUAUUUAUAAUUUCUCUCUUUAAGCAUGUUUUAUGAGCUUUAUAUUUAAGAAACUUGCCACUCACUAAGUAUUCGACUUACAUUUAAAUGUUUUUCUUUCCCCCCUCAGGUAGUGAACAAAGGCCAAGCGUUGAUUGAUCUCUCGUCAUCGGUCGUAGAUCUCUAUUAUUCUUUUGUAUGUUUGUAGUUUUUUUUUUGUAAUGCAUCAUGGAGUGAUUAGAUGUAGCGAGAGUGAGGCCAAGAACUUGUAUAGGAGAUCCCUCUUUAGAACGAAAUCAUUUUGUAUGUAAUUUUAGUCAAAUUCUGAACUUUACUGAAACCUUGAAACUGUUUGGAUAAGUGUGUGGUGAGACACACUUGUUUUGUGUUGUGGAGUUUAAA